UGGUGAUGAUGGCGAAGGGGUCACACCCGUUCCCAUGCCGAACACGGAAGUUAAGCUCUUCAGCGCCGAUGGUAGUUGGGGGUUUCCCCCUGCGAGAGUAGGACGUCGCCAGGCA
rnacentral:rRNA from 1 species